ACUACAGUACCCAAAUUUGAAUUUCAGGUCCCUCUUGUUAAUAAAUUUACCCUGUAUCUUUUAGUAAUAGGGUGUUUCUUUGUGCAAUAGGGUGUAAGGAAAUGAAGCAUUGUUUGAUUAUUUCUUAUUUAGAUCUGAACAAGUUUUUGGUGGAGUUUUGAUGGCUUAUUGUGAAUUCUGUGUGUUUAUGACUGGGAUGAUCAUGAAAAUAAGUUUAUUGAAGUUGAAGGAAUUCUGAGAAGACAGAUAAAGGAAUGGGCAUCUGAGCAUUGUUCAGCACCUUUUCGAGCUCCUGAGUUGUGGGAUUGUCCAAGUAAUGCAGAUAUCGAUUAGAGAGCUGAUAUUUGGUCAUUAGGAUGCACUUUAUAUGCAAUAAUGUGAUAAUGUUUUUUACCAUGUGAUUUAAGAUUUAUUGGUUUAAGUUUUCGGGUCUU